rnacentral:rRNA from 1 species
UACAGAGGUCCCGAGCGUUGUUCGGAUUCAUUGGGCGUAAAGGGUGCGUAGGCGGCGGGGAAAGUCUGAUGUGAAAUCCUGGGGCUCAACCCUGGAACUGCAUUGGAUACUUCCUUGCUAGAGUACUGGAGAGGAAACUGGAAUUUACGGUGUAGCAGUGAAAUGCGUAGAGAUCGUAAGGAAGACCAGUGGCGAAGGCGGUUCUCUGGGACGGUACUGACGCUGAGACGCGAAAGCGUGGGGAGCGAACAGG